UACGGAGGAUGCGAGCGUUAUCCGGAUUUAUUGGGUUUAAAGGGUGCGUAGGCGGACGCUUAAGUCAGCGGUAAAAUUGCGGGGCUCAACCUCGUCGAGCCGUUGAAACUGGGGAUCUAGAGUGUGCGAGAGGUAUGCGGAAUGCGUGGUGUAGCGGUGAAAUGCAUAGAUAUCACGCAGAACCCCGAUUGCGAAGGCAGCAUACCGGUGCACAACUGACGCUGAGGCACGAAGGCCAGGGGAGCGAAAGGG
rnacentral:rRNA from 1 species